AUUGUAAUCAUACGUGUUUGUAGGCUUCCAUUACUGAGAAACAAAAGCCGAGGAGCUUUUGUUAAAGUGCCGCUCCUCAACUAUCCGCUUCAACAGGUCUGUGAACAUAUAAAGCUGCGUGGCCAAAAUCGUAUCACUUACACCAGAGAAGCCAAUGCAGCAUCAACAGCAAGAACCAGCCACACUAAAGUAGUUGAGCAUGUGAGAAUGUAUCUUUGUAAAGUGAAUAUGACACCUCUUUUUACAAUCAAAUACUUAUAAUGAUGAAGGCACUUGGUAAUGACAAGCCCAUAAGCGACAAAUGAGAGAUUGUGAAAAUGCGAUUUUUAUUAUUAUCUUUAGGAACACCAAACCGCUGCAGGCAGCAUAGCGUCAUGAUGCAGGUGUCUCCAGGUAGCCAUGGUAAUAGUCCUUACCGAAACACGUCGGACUGCCUGGUCAGGAAUCUACAAACUUGUGACUGUGUUUAAAAUAAUACACGUGACAUCUUGACAUUCUAAUAAUAUGAGAAGGUUGGGCAGAUCUGGCAUGUUUGGUUCCGAAUACUCAAGCCAUGUGUUGCAUGAUCAAGGACGUAACCACACAUUCUUUGGGGGGGUCGUGUCUCAUGAUCAAGUCUUGGUUUGAUGUUAAUGCAUCAUGUCUUAACAUAAAGAAAAUAACAUUCAUGCUCUUUGGAAAUCAAAAAGAAUUGGAUCGGGAUAUUGAAUUAAAAAUCUGAGAUAAAAAAAAAGAUAAAAUUAAAGGAGAAUAAAUUCCUUCGCGUAGGAAUCAAUCAUAAAGUAACAUGGAGACAAUAUAUUUAUUUGUAUUAAUUGUACAAGUCAAUAGCGAUACUAAAUCACUAUCACUUCUGUGUAUAUCAUACUGUGUUAUAUUGUGUGAAGGUUUGGGGGUCAACCUAUAAAACACUCAUAAACACCCUUGUUACAAAAACAAGCUCUACGUAUCAUUAAUAAAGUUGGUUUUCAUGAGCACACAAACCCCCCAGGUAGCCAGCGGACUCGGCUGUGUCAUUUAUUCCCCCGAAACUAAGGAGAAUUCAAAGACAGAUUUCAAUACGUAAAGAUGUUCAUGUAAAGAUUCAAAGGUGUCACAACUUGUCAAUAUUUCCAUUUGACGAAAAGGUCCCAGGUAUAAAGAUGUGGAAUCGUUUUUUUGUUAAUAUUCACUAAAGAUCUUCCUAAAAUAUAGUCUCAUCUUUUGAUGACUUAUGUUUUAGGAUUGUAAUCACACGUGUUCGUAGGCUUCCAUUCCUGAGAAACGAAAGCGAAGGACCGUUUGUUAAAGUGUCACACCUGAACUACACGCUACAACGGGACGGUGAACCUAUAAAGCUGCGUGGCCAACAUCUUAUCACUUACACCAGAGAAGCCGAAGCAGCAUCAACAGCAAGAACCAGCCAAGGGUUGGAAGGGUUGUAACAAAAAGAUUGAGGCUGACAAACAUGUAUUAUUGGGCUCUUUGUGUUUAGACAGUAUUCAGUAACUUAUGGCUUAUGUUCUUCAAUAAAGUAUUUGGUAUUGAAA